AGCGAGGUUGCCCUUUGUAUAUUCGGCUUGUUGACACGGAAUAUACAAGGGCAAGCUCUCUGU
rnacentral:pre_miRNA from 1 species